rnacentral:lncRNA from 1 species
AGACACCAUUUUGUAUGCAUUCUGAGGCAUAAUUCACGGCACCGCAGCCCCAAAGAUGAUUCAGUGCUUCUGGGAAAUAAAUGGCAGUGUUUAAAAAACUGUUUCUGACUUGUUGAGAAAUAAAUCCAAGCCCUGAAAUUCCUUUGCGUCAUACUGCACAAAAGGAGCCAUUAUAUUAAUAGUAUGACUGCAGGUCCAGGUGAAAGGAGUAAAAAGAAAGACAGAUUGUUGGAAGAAAGGUCUGUCUAACAUGUACACAUGCUGAGUCCCACGCCUACCGGCACAGGGGGAGGUGACAAGGAAAGAGCACAUACUUUUCAAGGCAGGCAGAAAAUUGGGAAAAGUGAUCUGUGUGAAGCAAGCAAGAACAAGGGAGAAUGAGGGAAGAGAAGGAAAGAACUGAAAAAGUGCAAAAAGAAAGGAGGGAAGGAAGACUGCCAUCUUCAGGGGAAAAGGGAUCUGAGAUGAAAACUGCUCAUGUAAAGUAGCCUCUCCCAGAAGCUGCCCCAUUUUUCUACAGCAACAUGACCAGUAUUGACUGCUUUCUAGGAUUCCUCCACCUUUAUAGCUUAUCUCUGUCCCUGCUGUAUCGUGUUCAAACUGUACAGACCCAGCUCAAUCCAAUUCCUGGCCAGUUUAAUGAUGAGCUUCAAAAUUAAGCUUACUUUUCUGAGAUGAUCUGAGAAUAGCAUUUAAGGCUAAUUGAGAAUUUUUUUUACACAUCGUUUAAAGAUAUUGAUUCUUUAACAAAUAAAAAAGGCAAAACUAGUAUAGAGGAAAAGGCUGUAUGAAUGUUUUCUCAGGGGGAAAGUAAACAAAUGGAAAAUUAAAAUAUAUAUAUUUUAAAUACUUAUCUUUUAAAAAGAAUUGUUGAAUCAUAUGAAAUUAUCCCCUUUUGGAUAGCUAUUAGCAUUGCUAUGCAUCCUAAUAUACAAGAGAAACACUGAGUAUUCCAGUGCUGAAUUCCUAUCUCGUAUGCUUUACUAUUCUCUCUCCAGCAUUAGUAUUUUGGAAUUUACCUCACUUACCCUUCCACACACUUAUGCAGUGCUGACUGAUGCUAAUAAAAGUCACAUCUACAUGUGCAGAUUAGAACUCGGUUAUCUAAAGAGUUCAAUUUGAGCAUGAAAUACAGGCAGAGCAAAUAUGGGAUACAUAAGGGAUUUUGAGACUUUGUUAAAAGUAAGGAAAUGGUAUUGGGAUUUUGUUAAAUGAUAGGCAAGGAAAUCUUCCAGCUAUCACAAAGUGAUGUCAGAAUGAUAUUGCUGUGAACUGGGAGCACAGUAGGAUUUUCUUGCAGGUUGUCAGAGGAGGCCGGGGGAAGGGCUGCUCCCUGUGGUAUACAUUCAUUUAUUGACUACAGUCACAGUUAUUUGCUUCAGCCAGCAUGAUCUGAAAUGCAUGUAUAAAAGCAUAUAGGUAUUGGAAUUUUCAACCCAAAUCAGAAUCCUAAUUAACUGUAAAUCGUAAAGCCUGUAGCCUGAGGUACAUUAAAAUGAGAACUUUGUACAUGAAAGGCUGCAUAUGCCCCAAAAUCUAAGUAUUUCCUACUUAUAAACCACCAAAUUCACUGCAUCAGCUUCCAUGACUGUAAUUCUACUCCUGAGGGAUAUACAAGUAGAGUUAACUGAAAACAAAUAUGAGUUUGCAACUCAUAGAACUAUCAUUUUAUGGGCACAUUAAAAACCACUGACAUAAGAAAAGACAACAUAAAAUAUUUGUACUUAAGGUAAGAAUGUGACAUUAAAGCCAGGAACGAACUCAGUCCAUUCUACUUUAUCAAGUGCCUCUUUAAUCUGUAAAUGUGUGUGAUUAGAAAGACAUUAAUUUCAGGGGGAAUACCACAUCAGUAAAACAUCACUGAAACACCUGGCACAAUCGAAUUUCAUGCCGCACAGAACUCAAAUGGGGAAAGUGGAAGUUACAAACCAGGCUGGAGCUGAACAGAGACAACACAGAGGACACUAUUCUCUCAGACACAUAAAAGGAUUUUGGUUAUACAGAUCCAGUUCUGCUGAGGGCAAUGGGAUUUGUACUGCCCUUUAAUGGGAGCUGGAUCAAGCUGCAAAGAGAGAUUUGAUCCUUUUGUGUGCAGGCAACAAACAACAAAACAGGAAUUGCGGAGCACUUGUGUGUAGGGAACCUCUGCUCCAUACCACCUUUACCAUUCUGUAGUGCUAAGUUAUCUCGUAAUCUUGACUCUGAUAACAGCUGUAUCCUUCUCCUUAUCAUCUGCUGAGUAACUCUAUGUCUUCUCAGGCCAGAAUUUGAGUAGGAGCUGAGUUUUUCUCAGCUACAGAACUGCAGUGAUCUGUAAACUGAUAUCUGGCUUCAUAAUGUGUUCAUGUGUCAUUCCAAAGGGGUAUAACUUUUUCAUCCAACUGAUCAGACUUAGUACCUCAUACCCAUGAAAUGCCAAUCCUCCUUUUUGGCUUGGAAUAAUGGUAAGGGACCUGCUGCUUCGAAUGCUUUCAUCAUAGAAGAGGCAGUUUAAUGAGAAGAAAGCCUAUUAUGGAAAUUGCUAAACAUACACAAUCAGAACAAAACAGAACUCCUACACAUUAAACAGUUGACAGGAAGAAUCUCAGCAGUGAUUUAAGCUAUAUCUCCAGUCGCUGUUAGUUCACUCCACUUAAGAAUGAGAAAGAAAAAGGACAGUAGAGUGGCAGUGGAAAGGAAAACUAAAGCAUUCCAAGGGAGAUAUGAAUAUUUUACAUACAUUGGGAGUAUCUUGAGGUCAAGUACAGUAUAGAUAUUGCCAGGGCAAUGCUAAUACUUAUAUACUCCCAUACUGGACACUUGCACUGAAGACUGUUGCAGAGCCCCCUGCUGAAGUGGUAAAACUUCACCCAGUUUACGGCUACUGCUCAGCUGCCACUACAGUUUGAAGUUACUUCCUAGCCUCAUGAAAAUCCCGCCAUCAUCAGUGGAAGGGGAAAAAAUACCACCUAUGUAUUCACUGUGUUUAUCUGAACCUGUCAGCUACAUCAGAAAUCAAGUUGCUAAAUGCCGCAUUCAAGAAUUUUCUGUAGAAUUGUGACAUUCCUUGGAAGGCUUUAGAUCCAUAAAGUAAUGAAUAAAUUAUAAGAAGACAUAAUUAUGGUAUUUUCAACUCUGACAGAUAUAAUUUUACUCCGUAAGCACCGAAAAGAAAGCUGCCAUUUCUCUCAGACCAACACUCUGAGAUUUCUUAAAAACAAAAAAGAAAAAAAGAAAAAAAAUAUUUCAGUGAAAAAUGACAUAUUUAGUAAAUAUUGUCCAGGGUAAUUGUUCAUGUGGGACCCAAUAGAAGCAUAUUUCAGAUACUGUAACUACUGUAUACUCAGAGUGUAUGAACACUGUGUAUUCAGAGUAGAUGCUAAUCUGCAAUGUUUGUUACAAAGCCCCUUGUGGACACUCAAAUGUAAUUUUAAUGUUCUCCUGAAGAAAAAAAAAAGAAAGAAAAAGAAGAAGCAACAGCACUCAAAUUGGAUUUCAGAGGUAAGGUUAGUUACUGAGGGUACAAUUUACAUCAGCUGGAUCCAUCUGUCUAAAACACAUGCCUCUAAUUUAGGCUCUCUUUGCAGCCCACCAAAGGAAGUAGGUACCUCCACAGACAGAGCAAUUUCACUCACUUUGACAACUGUUUUGGGAAAAGACAAACUGCCAGCAACCAGUAAGGAAAGAAAGAGGAUUAGAUUAGGAACCUAACUUUGAGACAGUGAAGACAGGGACCAUGUACUGGAUCUGGAAUUAUGCUGCCUCUUAGCACAUGAAAUCAGACCCUGAGGUCCUGCCCGUGCACGGAGCACAGUCCUAAAGGACUCAGUUGGAGUCAGCUUCCUCCUGCCAGAUGCUGUGGUAUUAGAGUCACACCACAGCCGUGAUAAGUACCAUGCUCUAUGUUUCAUAAAACACAAUGUUUUUGAACAUUUCUAGGGACUCCGAUUCCCCUAGACAUGUUGGAAAUCACCAGGAGAUGGGCCCACUUUGAAUCUUCCAGUCUGAGCCCUCAAGUCAACACUGUAUCUUCAUUCAGCAAAUCACUGUCGCAUAUAUGUAAAUCUUCAAGCUUAAAUCCCAUUAACAUCAAAGGGAUGUAAGCAUGCACUUAAAUGUUUUUCUGAACUGGUACCCUUGGCCUCAGUCCAGCAAAACAUGUAAGCGUAUGCUUAACUUUAAGAAUGUUUAACCCUGUUAGCUUCUAUAGGGCUGAUUUUCUACAGUUUCCUGAAGUAAAACACAGAUUUCAAUGCUUUGCCAAGUCACUAUCUAAAUGAAGAUGCAAUGUCCCUAUCUCAUCAGCAUGACAAGCCUCAGUUAAAUCAGUCAUACUAAAACACAAAGACCAGAGCUACAUAUUCUGUAAGGAGAAAAAAUCCAUUAGGAAUGGAUUUGGGCCUGGCCAAAUGGCAAGCUAAACACUAAAAAAAAGUAGAUUCCAAAAUAAUCUAAGCCUCAGCUCAUCCAGGACUCAAGCACUUGAUUUGCUUUAAAUACAGUGCUGUUUAUGCUUACAUUUAGGCAUGUGCUUAAGUGCUGUGAUGAACUGGUCCAUCUGUGUACACCUUCCCUUUAUGUUAGAUAAAGUAAAAUCCUUAGGCUUUUGUAAAUCACACUGCUAUGCCUAUGAUAUCAGAUGAGCUGCUGUACUCUGAUGCUUAUAUGUGCACAAUAAAUCCAGACAUAAAAAUCAAUAGAAACAUUUUAACCUAUGAAGUUGUAGAAGUGCCCCUUGGAAAAAGUCAAAUAUUAAAAAAAUGAAUCUCACGUAUCUGUGAUAUUGUUCUAACAAGCAAAGAAUUGUUCAUAUUUAUUCAGAUCCUUUUUGCAGGAAUUAAGAAAGCUGUGGUAAGAUAGGUUGUAUAGAAUCUUUUUAAUGUUGUACGGUCCUAGAUUUUCCAUGUUGAUGUAUUGUUAUGUAAAUGAAAAUUUAUACACUUGCCAUAAGAGCAACCUGCUAUUUGGUCAUAGAUUUUGAAUUUUAUAUUAGUUGUUGAUUUCACUGUAAAAAAUUGGUAAAUAUAAUACGUUCAGUAUAAAGAUUAGUGAUGUAUGUCUUUAUAAAGCCAUCACAAGGCUAUGUUUUGUUUAUGUGGGCUGGCAUGCUAUAUGCUAAAUAUAUCAUAGGUUUAUGUUACCGUAACGAUGCAUCACUCCUCAGCUAUUAAUCUACACUGCAGAGUACAUGUAUAUUUAAUAAUCUUAGGAAAGUCUGUAAGACUUAUUUACAUUUUCUAUAUAUACUGCAAUUUUAAAGACCUUUUAGUACUGACUACAAACACUAUAGUAUCAGAAUGUAUAAGUAAAAAAGGUUAAACAGUAGAAGAUUAGUUAAAUCUAUACUUCAAAUGCCAGUGAAGAUG